rnacentral:rRNA from 1 species
UACGUAGGGUGCAAGCGUUAAUCGGAAUUACUGGGCGUAAAGGGCUCGUAGGCGGCCAACUAAGUCGGAUGUGAAAUCCCCAGGCUUAACCUGGGAACUGCAUCCGAUACUGGAUGGCUUGAAUCCGGGAGAGGGAUGCAGAAUUCCAGGUGUAGCGGUGAAAUGCGUAGAUAUCUGGAGGAAUACCGGUGGCGAAGGCGGUCUGCUGGGGUAAUGCUGACACUGAUGCGCGACAGCGUGGGGAGCAAACAGG